GGCCGUCUAGCUCAGUUGGUUAGAGCGUCGUGCUAAUAUGGGAUCGUAUAUCCUGAUUUACGCGAAGGUCUUGGGUUCGACCCCCACGAUGGCCA